CUCCACCCUUACUGCUGCAUCUAACGCAUUAAGCACUCCGCCUGGGGAGUACGACCGCAAGGUUGAAACUCAAAGGAAUUGACGGGGACCCGCACAAGCGGUGGAACAUGUGGUUUAAUUCGAAGCAACGCGAAAAACCUUACCAAAUCUUGACAUCCUUUGACCCUUCUAGAGAUAGAAGUUUCCCCUUCGGGGGACAAAGUGACAGGUGGUGCAUGGUUGUCGUCAGCUCGUGUCGUGAGAUGUUGGGUUAAGUCCCGCAACGAGCGCAACCCUUAAGCUUAGUUGCCAUCAUUAAGUUGGGCACUCUAAGUUGACUGCCGGUGACAAACCGGAGGAAGGUGGGGAUGACGUCAAAUCAUCAUGCCCCUUAUGAUUUGGGCU
rnacentral:rRNA from 1 species